UUAAGUCUUGACGAGUAAGAGGGUCGCGACGGUGAGCGCAGAAGGGUCAGGGCGAGAGCCUGCCUGGAGCCGCCGUUGGUGCAGAUCUUGGUGGUAGUAGCAAAUACUCUAGCGAGGGCCUGGAGGACUGACGUGGAGAAGGGUUUCUUGUGAACAGCCGUUGCACAAGAGUCAGUCGACCCUGAGCCCUAGGAGAAAUCCGAUGACGAUGGGUGGCUUGACAAUACAACACUAAACAGCUCCUAUCGGGCAAAAGGGAAUCCGGUUCCUAUUCCGGAACCCGGCUGCGUAACCGCUACUUUGCGGGCACUUGCUUGCGAGCGCUCGUCGGGGUAACCCAAACUGGCCUGGAGACGCCGGCGGGGGGUCUGGAAAGAGUUUUCUUUUCUUUAUAAGCGUUCGAGUACCCUGGAAUCCUAUAGCAGGGAGAUAGGGUUUGGAACGCGAAGAGCACCGCAGUUGCGGCGGUGUCCGGACCUUCCCCCCGGACCUUGAAAAUCCAGGUGAGGGCCACGCGGAAGUCGCGCCGG
rnacentral:rRNA from 1 species